GGGGCUGACCGGUUUUGACAGCGGGUAGAAUUGACGCGUAAGCAUGCAGAGAGAUGUCAUCUAUCUCUUUAAUCCAUGGUGGCACAAAUUUAGUUGGCGAAAAUAAUUACGCUCUUGCUGCUUAAUCGAAGUAUAGUAGAUAUAGCUUAAUUGCCGUCCAAGGAGAUGGCAACAAGACAUUGUCCGGAUGCUGUUGUUCCGAAGCGGUCCGAUUAGACAGUGCAGUAAUAUCGGAAAUAGUUCUUUUCUGCUUCGAGAAGAGAAUGAAAUUUUAGAAGAUAAGGCUUACAUUGGUGGCUUCGGUCUUGUGUAAGCACGAAAACCUAAGCGAAGAUAAGCAUGUAGAAAGCCCGUUUGUUCCCUGUUUGGACGAGAGUUCGAAUCUCUCCAGCUCCACUU
rnacentral:tmRNA from 1 species